rnacentral:rRNA from 1 species
CCCUUAGAUGUUCUGGGCCGCACGCGUGCUACACUGAGUAAUUCAAUGGGUAAGGGAACGCUAGAGCAUUACCUAAUCUUGAAAUUUGCUCGUGAUGGGGAUCGACGGUUGCAAUUUUCCGUCGUGAACGAGGAAUACCUUGUAGGCGCAUGUCAUCAUCAUGCGCCGAAUACGUCCCUGCCCUUUGUACACACCGCCCGUCGCUCCUACCGAUUGAGUGAUCCGGUGAGGCUCUGGGACCUGGACGGAAAGAGCGUUUCGCUUGUUCUGUUUGGGAAACUUGGUCGAACCUUAACAUUUAGAGGAAGGAGAAGUCGUAACA